AUGGCUCAGGAUGAACGCUAGCUACAGGCUUAACACAUGCAAGUCGAGGGCAUCAUGCGGUUGCUUGCAACCGAUGAUGGCGACCGGCGCACGGGUGAGUAACGCGUAUCCAACCUUCCCCUUAGUAGGGCAUAGCCCGUAGAAAUGCGGAUUAACACCCUAUGUUCUUCAUGGAUGGCAUCUGACGUGAAGCAAAGUUUACGCUAAGGGAUGGGGAUGCGUCUGAUUAGGUUGCAGGCGGGUAACGGCCCACCUGGCCGACGAUCAGUAGGGGUUCUGAGAGGAAGGUCCCCCACAUUGGAACUGAGACACGGUCCAAACUCCUACGGGAGGCAGCAGUGAGGAAUAUUGGUCAAUGGGCGCGAGCCUGAACCAGCCAAGUAGCGUGCAGGAUGACGGCCCUAUGGGUUGUAAACUGCUUUUAUCAGGGGAUAAAGUCGGCUACGCGUAGCCGUUUGUAGGUACCUGAUGAAUAAGGACCGGCUAAUUCCGUGCCAGCCGCCGC
rnacentral:rRNA from 1 species